rnacentral:rRNA from 1 species
UACGGAGGGUGCAAGCGUUAAUCGGAAUUACUGGGCGUAAAGCGCACGCAGGCGGUCUGUCAAGUCGGAUGUGAAAUCCCCGGGCUCAACCUGGGAACUGCAUUCGAAACUGGCAGGCUAGAGUCUUGUAGAGGGGGGUAGAAUUCCAGGUGUAGCGGUGAUAUGCGUAGAGAUCUGGAGGAAUACCGGUGGCGAAGGCGGCCCCCUGGACAAAGACUGACGCUCAGGUGCGAAAGCGUGGGGAGCAAACAGG